UGGACAAUACUUUGUCAGAUAGACCUUGGC
rnacentral:piRNA from 1 species